CAAGGAAUCUUCCGCAAUGGGCGAAAGCCUGACGGAGCAACGCCGCGUGUGGGAUGACGCCUUUCGGGGUGUAAACCACUUUUCUCAGGGAAGAAGCACUGACGGUACCUGAGGAAUAAGGACCGGCUAACUACGUGCCAGCAGCCGCGGUAAUACGUAGGGUCCGAGCGUUGUCCGGAGUUACUGGGCGUAAAGCGCGCGCAGGCGGCGGUGUAAGCAUGGCGUGAAAGCCCCAGGCUUAACCUGGGAGGGUCGUCGUGGACUGCACCGCUUGAGGGCGGUAGGGGCUGGUGGAAUGCCUGGUGUAGUGGUGAAAUGCGUAGAGAUCAGGCGGAACACCCGUGGAGAAGGCGGCCAGCUGGGCCGUCCCUGACGCUGAGGCGAGAAGGCGUGGGGAGCGAACGGG
rnacentral:rRNA from 1 species